rnacentral:lncRNA from 1 species
AGUGGGCAACAUGAUCUUUGUUUCCUCAUCUAAAACUGCUGUUUAGGUGGGGGUCAAAAUAUGUGUGUGAGGGUGUGCAAAUUUUUAAAAUAUGUAAGUUAUAUUGAAUUAGUUGAUAAAAAGUCUAUAUAAAAGUAAAAACCACAUCAAUUACCUGAUAAAAUCAUACCGUCCCCACUAUAACUUUUCACAAUCAAUUUUUUCCCUUAAAAUUUUGAUAAAUGAAGCUGUCAGAGGGGAUAAGAUCACGAUUUUCAAUUUUGUUUACUUUUUUUUUUUAACUGUUUUAACUUUCAAAAUCCAGUUCACGAAGGCUGCAAAUGUGAGCUCUGAUAAGAUCGCAGUGCUGCCUGCCAUGAGGGAACAAUCCGUUUUUCAUGUGUAACUGGUAAUGGAAGAGAGAGACAGAUAUGUCAAUCUUGCACCUGGAAAGGAGGCAGAGCAAGGCCACCUCGAGGAGGACACUUUGCUGAUGCCCACCAUGGAUUUGGUCCCUGUGGCCUGGCCAUUGCUAGGAGCAGCUCCUUCACAGGUGGUGUUUCUGGUAUCUGUAAGGUUAUGGGUCCAUAUUUAUGAAGAACCCAUAGGCACUUAUGGCCAGAGAUAUUUCAACUCGACUUUAUCUGUUUUUAUGAACUAAAGCUGAUAAACUGUCUAGUUUCAAAACCUUUUCAGUGACAACCUCACCAAAAGGGAAUGAGCAGAGACCUCUGUUUUUGUUUGUUUGCCAAAUACAGCCCUGGAUAGCAGAAAAAUUACUAAAUCACACACUCGACAUUACUUAAA